rnacentral:rRNA from 1 species
AUUGAACGCUGGCGGCAGGCCUAACACAUGCAAGUCGAGCGGAUGAAGGGAGCUUGCUCCUGGAUUCAGCGGCGGACGGGUGAGUAAUGCCUAGGAAUCUGCCUGGUAGUGGGGGAUAACGUCCGGAAACGGGCGCUAAUACCGCAUAAGUCCAGAGGGAGAAAGUGGGGGAUCUUCGGACCUCACGCUAUCAGAUGAGCCUAGGUCGGAUUAGCUAGUUGGUGGGGUAAAGGCCUACCAAGGCGACGAUCCGUAACUGGUCUGAGAGGAUGAUCAGUCACACUGGAACUGAGACACGGUCCAGACUCCUACGGGAGGCAGCAGUGGGGAAUAUUGGACAAUGGGCGAAAGCCUGAUCCAGCCAUGCCGCGUGUGUGAAGAAGGUCUUCGGAUUGUAAAGCACUUUAAGUUGGGAGGAAGGGCAGUAAGUUAAUCCCUUGCUGUUUUGACGUUACCAACAGAAUAAGCACCGGCUAACUUCGUG